rnacentral:rRNA from 1 species
UACAUGCAAGUCGAGCGAAUGGAUUAAGAGCUUGCUCUUAUGAAGUUAGCGGCGGACGGGUGAGUAACACGUGGGUAACCUGCCCAUAAGACUGGGAUAACUCCGGGAAACCGGGGCUAAUACCGGAUAACAUUUUGAACUGCAUGGUUCGAAAUUGAAAGGCGGCUUCGGCUGUCACUUAUGGAUGGACCCGCGUCGCAUUAGCUAGUUGGUGAGGUAACGGCUCACCAAGGCAACGAUGCGUAGCCGACCUGAGAGGGUGAUCGGCCACACUGGGACUGAGACACGGCCCAGACUCCUACGGGAGGCAGCAGUAGGGAAUCUUCCGCAAUGGACGAAAGUCUGACGGAGCAACGCCGCGUGAGUGAUGAAGGCUUUCGGGUCGUAAAACUCUGUUGUUAGGGAAGAACAAGUGCUAGUUGAAUAAGCUGGCACCUUGACGGUACCUAACCAGAAAGCCACGGCUAACUACGUGCCAGCAGCCGCGGUAAUACGUAGGUGGCAAGCGUUAUCCGGAAUUAUUGGGCGUAAAGCGCGCGCAGGUGGUUUCUUAAGUCUGAUGUGAAAGCCCACGGCUCAACCGUGGAGGGUCAUUGGAAACUGGGAGACUUGAGUGCAGAAGAGGAAAGUGGAAUUCCAUGUGUAGCGGUGAAAUGCGUAGAGAUAUGGAGGAACACCAGUGGCGAAGGCGACUUUCUGGUCUGUAACUGACACUGAGGCGCGAAAGCGUGGGGAGCAAACAGGAUUAGAUACCCUG